UUAGUAUGUUUUCUCUAUUUAUUUGCUUUAUUUUGGCAAUUUUUGACAAAAAGGGGGAGAGAGUAGAUGAACAGGGGAGAGCAUGGAUGAGCAUGGAUGAACAGGCAAUGAACUAAGCUGAGGAUGAUGAGUUCAAGAACAAAGGGGGAGAUGUGAUCGAGAUGUGAACAAAGGGGGAGAAGGUAUAAGAAUUUAAGGUUAAUCAUUUUUUAAUGAAUUGUUUUGCAGGAAAUCAAGACUUCAAGACUCCUAAUUGCGUUUAAGUCAUAGAGUCUAUUUUAGGAGUUUUUGUUGUAAUUUUGAGUUUCAAAUUGUAUUUGGAUUACACGCGAGGAGUUCAAUGUUUUGGUGAUGACAAUUGAACUUCGUUUUUCUUUAUGAUGUAAUUUUUGAGUUUUGUGAGUUUUGUCACGAAAUUGCCAAAGGGGGAGAUUGUUAAGGACUUUGUAUUGGCAAAUUUCGUGAAGUGAAUCGGAGUCUUGAAGGAUCGAAGCGGAUUGAUGAAGAUUGAAGAAUUCAAGAUUUCGAAGAUUGUGAAAAAUUGCUCACAAUGUGAAUCACGACGUAAAGGUAGAGUUUUAAUUCAUGUUACUGGUGAUUCAUACUUAGUUAUAGGCAUUAGAAUCAUAAACUCAAAGUUUAAUGGAUUAGAAAGUG
rnacentral:lncRNA from 1 species